rnacentral:sRNA from 1 species
UCCUAGCCCCGAUUGCAGCGGCAUCCUUUUAUAAAGCUCCCAGCCAUAAAUAGGCUGCGAGCUUUAUAAAAGAUACAGUGGAAAGCGGGAAAAUGC